AACCCUAAGCUUUUUACUUUGUGUGAGUUGAUCAUGGACAGAUUUCUUCUUAAGGAAAUCACUGGAGAGACAUCAGCAAAUGACAUCAAGUCUGUCUCAUCUCCUGUCAUUCUUAAGGUGUUUUCUUCUUGGUUACUUGCAGUUAACUGGUCUUCCGCAUAGAUCAUCCAUGGGUUAGACCUGGGUCAGCUUUUUAGACUUAGAUAGGAGAAGGGCCUGCAGGAAGAUGAGACAAGGCUACGUUUCCAAAUUCACCACUGGUACCCAUGUGAGUGCAUCUAGAGAGAGAACACCUCACCCAAGAAGUAUGGUACAGACCUGGCCAAUAAUGGACAUCUCCACCUAUGUUCAGGAAAGACUUUUUUCUGGCUUUUUCCUACCAUUUCCAGAUGGUAAAAUAUUUCUAGUGCUGUGACAUAUUUAUUAUGACCCAAUCGUCUUGUCAAAUUCAUUGGUGGAUAAUUCCUAGAAAUCAGGGAAAGUCACCAAGUUGUAUUUACCUUCCCUUGACUGGUGGUAUUUCUAUCUUUGAUUCUUAGUACAGAGAAAGCAUGGAAUGAAGAGAAGUGAGUGUUCCUAUUGCUAGAAUCAUUUCAGAGGUGCACUACUAGGUACUUCGGGGAGUUCAAUUAAAAAAAGUUGAUGGAUCAAUAUGGAAGAAAAGGUAGAAGGUUAUUUGUAGUUAGGUACAUAUUAAGAAAUUGUACUUCCCUGAAUGAUGAGAGGAAUGAUGAUUAAAGGAAGAGGUGGAAUUUCCCGAAAUGGUGAAAUUCAUCUCUCAUCUGCCUUCCCCUUCUUUCCCCAUCCUGGCCCAUAGCACCAAGUCACUAGAAUUUAGGCAGCAUGUGGAAAAAGAAGUCCAUCUCUAAGGCAGAGUUGACUCGUUCAGCUUUCUCCUGUAUGGAGCAGUGGUGAUUCAUGCCUUCCUCCGCUGUCACACUGUCAGCAUCCGCUAAUCAUAGCCCCGUGAUCACAGGACUUGGGCACAUAAACAAUUUCCAGGAGGUUCAGAGCAGCCCAGGGACCUCGCAGGCACAAACACCGGUUAUUCUGUAAUUCAUUACAUGCCCCUCCCCAUCAUCUUGACAUGUGCUUGAAAUAAUAGCUUUCCUUAAAACGUUUGAACAUGUUGGUGGACUAGAUCCUUUCACUGUCCUUGGUACACACAUUGUUGUCUUACUAAGUCUGCUUUUAAAUGGAACUCUUUGGCUGUCCUGCUGAAGCUCAGGGGGCGGGGGGAUGUGUUUCGUGAAGAAUAUCAAGAGGAUACAGUGAUGGGAUUUCAAACACAAAUUGGUUCUUCUUGUGCUUUGCAUGUAUAUGUUGUGAGAGGCGAGAGAGUGAGGCCCUUGAAUGCUAUUGUGAAGCAGACUGCAUAUAUUUGGUGCUUAAAUUUGUAUGUAUUUUUUUACACUAGUAAGUCAGGUCAUUUACCUCCCACUCUUCCUCAAACAGAUGUCUUUAGCAAACUUAAGUUCCUCCAGUCAGUCUGUUUAUUCAGCCUGAGGCAGGAAUCAAUAACUUCUAGUGACACUGACAGGAUUAGUUUCUAUAUUCAAUAAAUAUGUAUUUUUGAUUACCUACUGUGCCAUGCAUAACAAUAGACAUUGGAGAGUUUGCAGUUUCUGUUCCCAUAGGAUCUAGAAUUAAGAAACAUUUAUAUUUGAAACCACGAUUGUCCAGUGCCUACAGUAUCUGUUGGGUUGUUACAAAAAUGGCUGGUAGAUUUUAUAAAGUUUCUUAGUUAUAUUGAACUUCAAACAUAGAAGAAGAAAAUAUUAUCUGGUUCUUAUAUGUCUUAGCUGUGUGUCCUCAGUGAUUAGAAAAUGAGAAAGCUGUGUCUGUGUUGGCUCUUCCAGUGUCAAGUGUUAUCUUUACGAGGGAUUCUUAGCUGUAUAAGUUGUGUUUCAAAAUGAAGGCAAAAUUGCUAUACGUCAUCCCAAUAGACUAUGUAGGGAUUAAUGUUAUUCCUUUUUAUAGUCACAGGCUCAGCAUGUUUAGUUGAUUUAUCCAAAAUCAUUUAACUCUGUUGGUAUGGAGUAUAGGUUGCUAGAGCCUGGGUUUGAUCUCGUGAUAUAUUACUUUUACUUUUUCCUUUAUUCAUUAAUGAGAAUAGCAUCAAGUGUAAAGACAGGGCAAAUGUUUUGAUUUAGGAUCAUUUAUGGAACUUGAUGGAAUUUUAACUGUGCUUCCCAUAUCACGCACAUGAAUCAAACUCUAAUAUAAUACCUAUGAGAAACAUCAGGCAGAAGAAUUUCUGAGGCAUUUAACUGUGGUUUUAGAAGUCAUUAUUUUUCCCUGAUUAUGCCUCCCCCCACCCCAUGUUCUGGGACCCACUCAUAGUUUUAACAAUACCUUCAAAAUCUGUUUGUCCUGAAUAGAUGAUUCACACAUACUCAGAUAUGAAAAUAAGGAAAUGUUGAAAUGUAUUAAUUAUUAGCAAUAUACAAAUUUAAAUAAUAGAAUAAUAGAAAAGAAAAUAUCCAAAAUUAAAACUCAGUAAUUAUUCUAAUGAAAUAUCUCUCUUAUUUUCCUGUUGGUAGUUUAAAUUAGGAUAAAUCCAUAGGAAAAUAGUUUGGCGCCAUCAGGAGCCAGCAAAAUGCUCUUUGACCUCAUAAUCCCCUUUCUGGGAAUCUAUCCUAAGGAGCAAUCCAAACUAUGGAGAAAGCUACACCCCUGAAACAGCAGAAACCGCAUAUGUGCCUAACAACAGGGGCAUAGUCAAUUAAUUCUCUCUCUCUUUUUUUUUUUUUGCUGGAUAGAAUGAAUGACCGUUAAAAAGACCAGUGUAGUGACAUGAUACAGUUACUGACAAUGCAAAAUUAAAAUACAUACAAAUUUGUCUUAUAAUUACAAAUAGAAAAGCAGAUGCACAGGGAAAAUAUAAAAAAUAAAAAAGCUAGAGGAAACUUACCCUAAUACCAAGAGAAGUUUAGCUAGGGUCAUGGGACUUCUUGGUGGUUUUUUUCUUUUUCUAUUUUCCAAAAUUUCAGUCAUGUUAUUUAUAUUACUUUUAUUCAAAUUCUUAAUAAAAAUAUGUCUAAUUGAGUUGUUCUCCACAGCUGUGUUGAAGCUGGCCGGUGGGUUUGGAAGUGAGUGGGAGGAAAGGGGUGGAGUUAGAGCCAGCAAGCAGAACCUGCCACAGAGAGGCCUGGCCUGUCCUCUUCACACAGCUGCCCACGGAGAGGGCCAGUUCCUGAGGGAAGUAUGUCUGCCAAAGCUCUGUAAAGACAUUUGUUAGCCGAAACUCUCACAAAGGUGACCUUUAUUCAUCUGCUUCUUCAUCUGAAAUACUGGAAUAAGAGGAUUUGUCCGAGUUCCUGGCAGCCUUGUUGCCAAGGCAAUGGUGGUAAUGCACAUGAACUUGCAUUGCGUGCCCUGUACCCCACUCUCUGUUAGUUGCUCUUGUUGUAAAAUAAUCCCAAUGGUAACAUUUGAAUCUUGGCU
rnacentral:lncRNA from 1 species